CAGUAGCCGCGGGAACACGUAGGUGGCAAGCGUUGUCCGGAAUUAUUGGGCGUAAAGGGCUCGCAGGCAGUUUCUUAAGUCUGAUGUGAAGGCCCCCGGCUCAACCGGGGAGGGUCAUUGGAAACUGGGAAACUUGAGUGCAGAAGAGGAGAGUGGAAUUCCACGUGUAGCGGUGAAAUGCGUAGAGAUGUGGAGGAACACCAGUGGCGAAGGCGACUCUCUGGUCUGUAACUGACGCUGAGGAGCGAAAGCGUGGGGAGCGAACAGGAUUAGAUACCCGCGUAGUCCCUGUCUCUUAUAC
rnacentral:rRNA from 1 species